rnacentral:rRNA from 1 species
AAAGCCCUUUCGGGGGUAAGUAGAGUGGCGUCCGGGUGAGUAACACGUGGGUAAUCUGCCUUCGGGUGGGGAAUAACCCAGGGAAACUUGGGCUAAUACCGCAUAAUGCAGCGGCACCUAAUGGUGAUUAGUUGUUAAAGCGGGGGAUCGCAAGACCUCGCGCCUGAAGAGGAGCCUGCGGCAGAUUAGCUAGUUGGUGAGGUAAUGGCUCACCAAGGCUGCGAUCUGUAGCUGGUCUGAGAGGACGGCCAGCCACACUGGCACUGACACACGGGCCAGACUCCUACGGGAGGCAGCAGUGGGGAAUUUUGGGCAAUGGGCGCAAGCCUGACCCAGCAACGCCGCGUGAGGGAGGAAAUCCUUCGGGAUGUAAACCUCACAAGCAAGGGAAGAGAGUCAUGGGCUGAAUAAUCCCAUGGUGCGACGGUACCUUGCGUAAGCCACGGCUAACUACGUGCCAGCAGCCGCGGUAAUACGUAGGUGGCAAGCGUUGUUCGGAAUUAUUGGGCGUAAAGGGCGCGUAGGCGGUUUGUUAAGUCGGCUGUGAAAGCCCGGGGCUCAACCCCGGAGGGUCAGCCGAUACUGGCAGGCUAGAGUACGGAAGAGGUAGCUGGAAUUCCCGGUGUAGCGGUGAAAUGCGUAGAUAUCGGGAGGAACACCUGAGGCGAAGGCGGGCUACUGGGCCGAUACUGACGCUGAUGUGCGAAAGCCAGGGGAGCGAACGGGAUUAGAUACCCCGGUAGUCCUGGCCCUAAACGAUGGACACUUGGUGUGUCGGGUAUUCCAGUCCCGAUGUGCCGGAGCUAACGCGUUAAGUGUCCCGCCUGGGGAGUACGGUCGCAAGGCUG